GUCGUUCGAGAAAACUUUAUCCCACCGGAUGCUGAUGCUAUCUUGAAUAUUCCACUCAGACAAGGAGGUGGUGAUGAUUAUUGGGCUUGGGAUCAUGAGAGAUCGGGUUCCUAUACUGUGAAGUCAGCGUAUCGUGCUCUAAUGACUCAUAACGAGCAUUCAGCUCUAGAGGAAGGGGCGAUUACAGAAUCUUCAUAGAAUAACAAGCAGUUAUGGACUCGUCUUUGGAAGCUCAAAGUGCUACCUAAGGUGCGUGUGUUC
rnacentral:rRNA from 1 species